rnacentral:sRNA from 1 species
AGCUAAGCCGGGCACCGGCUA